rnacentral:rRNA from 1 species
AGUGAACAUUAAACGGCCGCGGUACCCUAACCGUGCAAAGGUAGCGUAAUCAUUUGUCUAUUAAUUGUAGACCUGUAUGAAAGGCAAAAUGAGGGUUUAACUGUCUCUUAUAAUUAAUCAAUUAAACUGAUCUUCUGGUAAAAAAGCCAGAAUACCCACAUAAGACCAGAAGACCCUGUGAAGCUUAAACUAAACUAUUAAACCCUAUAAUAACUACUUUCGGUUGGGGCGACCUUGGAAAAAAAAAGAACUUCCAAAUACAGUGACUGUAAACCACUUUACACCAGGCCUACAAGCCCACUCAACACAGACCCAGCACAGCUGAAAAUUGGACCAAGUUACUCCAGGGAUAACAGCGCCAUCUUCUUCAAGAGCCCAUAUCAAAAAGAAGGUUUACGACCUCGAUGUUGGAUCAGGACAUCCUAA